CAGGCAACCCGCAGGCUGUUUGCAGAGAAGAAGCAGAACUGCCUGGUGGUAGCAGCAGGCGAGUGCUGCUUUCAACAUGAGGAAAAACAUCAUUUUAAUGUUGGUUGCAGUGUUGGGAGAAGUCUGUAGCACAGCAGAGAGGUGAGCUGCAGACCAUGCACACAAGAAACAGCAAGUGUCCGGAGAAAUUGAGGUGAAGUUCAGCAGGUGACAUCUGCAACGAUUUGACAGGCUCCACAAGAUCAAAAGCGAAAAUAUUUCCCAGCUGGUCUCAGCAGCAGUGCAGGAGCACUGUGUUCCUUGCCUGGAUGCUUCUAAUGUGCAUUCCUGCAUCCCUUUUAGUGUGGACGUAACUUGUGACAGCAUCAGCACUCAGCCUCCCCGUACUCAAGCCCCUUUUCACUUUGACUUUUUUUUGAUGGCAAGGAGAGAACAUGCAGGUACACAAGUGACUGUGGGGAAAGAGUGAUCUUGUGAUCCAUGAAAAUAAUUAAUGGGAGAAUCCGUAUCACUACUGCCUGGAGUACUCCACUUGACUCAGUCAGGGGCAGGAACAGUAGCUUCAACUUAUUUCAAGUCUUUUUCAAAAGUAAGUCAUGCCAAUUCUGAUUUUAUCUCUAUCCUUAAAAAAAAAAUAA